UACACACCGCCCGUCACGUCAUGGAAGUUGAUUCUACCCGAAAUCGCUGACUUAACCCGCAAGGGAGAGAGGCGCCUAAGGUGGGGUUGAUGACUGGGACG
rnacentral:rRNA from 1 species